rnacentral:rRNA from 1 species
GACGAACGCUGGCGGCGUGCCUAAUACAUGCAAGUAGAACGCUGAAGGAGGAGCUUGCUUCUCUGGAUGAGUUGCGAACGGGUGAGUAACGCGUAGGUAACCUGCCUGGUAGCGGGGGAUAACUAUUGGAAACGAUAGCUAAUACCGCAUAAGAGUAGAUGUUGCAUGACAUUUGCUUAAAAGGUGCAAUUGCAUCACUACCAGAUGGACCUGCGUUGUAUCAGCUAGUUGGUGGGGUAACGGCUCACCAAGGCGACGAUACAUAGCCGACCUGAGAGGGUGAUCGGCCACACUGGGACUGAGACACGGCCCAGACUCCUACGGGAGGCAGCAGUAGGGAAUCUUCGGCAAUGGACGGAAGUCUGACCGAGCAACGCCGCGUAAGUGAAGAAGGUUUUCGGAUCGUAAAGCUCUGUUGUAAGAGAAGAACGAGUGUGAGAGUGGAAAGUUCACACUGUGACGGUAUCUUACCAGAAAGGGACGGCUAACUACGUG